CAGUCGCCACGGUAAUACGUAGGGUGCAAGCGUUAAUCGGAAUUACUGGGCGUAAAGCGUGCGCAGGCGGUUAUAUAAGACAGAUGUGAAAUCCCCGGGCUCAACCUGGGAACUGCAUUUGUGACUGUAUAGCUAGAGUACGGCAGAGGGGGAUGGAAUUCCGCGUGUAGCAGUGAAAUGCGUAGAUAUGCGGAGGAACACCGAUGGCGAAGGCAAUCCCCUGGGCCUGUACUGACGCUCAUGCACGAAAGCGUGGGGAGCAAACAGGAUUAGAUACCCCAGUAGUCCCUGUCUCUUAUAC
rnacentral:rRNA from 1 species